rnacentral:rRNA from 1 species
UACGUAGGGUGCAAGCGUUGUCCGGAAUUAUUGGGCGUAAAGAGCUCGUAGGCGGUCUGUCGCGUCGGCUGUGAAAACCCGGAGCUCAACUCCGGGCCUGCAGUCGAUACGGGCAGACUGGAGUUCGGCAGGGGAGACUGGAAUUCCUGGUGUAGCGGUGAAAUGCGCAGAUAUCAGGAGGAACACCGGUGGCGAAGGCGGGUCUCUGGGCCGAGUACUGACGCUGAGGAGCGAAAGCGUGGGGAGCGAACAGG